AAUAAAAAUUUAUGUUUUUAGAAAAUUUAUUAUAAGUAUAUUUUACAUAUAAAUUUUAGUAUGAAAUUUUAAUUAUUUUAAUAAUAAUUGAUUAAUAAUUAUAGUAAUUAACAUUAAAAAUUUAAGAAAUUAAGAUUUAGUAAUAUAAAAAUUAAUAACUAAUUUUGUGCCAGCAGUUGCGGUUAUACAAAAAUUAAAUUAAAUUAUUUCAGUAUUUAAUUAAUAAAAUAUAAAUUAAAAUAAAUAUUAAAUUAUUAGGUGAAAUUUUAAUUCAAUUAAAUUUUAAAUUGAUUUUAUGAUUUAAUAAAUUUAAUAGUAAACUAGGAUUAGAUACCCUAUUAUUAUAAAAUUGAUUUAAAAUACUAAAAUAGUAGAUAAUAAAUAUUGAAACUUAAAUAAUAUGGCGGUAUUUUAGUUCAUUUAGAGGAAUCUGUUUAAUAAUUGAUAGUCCACGAAUAAAUUUACUUAAUUUAAAAUUUUAUAUAUCGUUGUUAAAAAAAUAUUUUAUAAUAAAAAUAAUAUUUAAAAAUUUAUAUUUAAAAUUAAUUCAGAUCAAGAUGUAGAUUAUAAUUAAGAAUAUAAUGGAUUACAAUAAAAUAAUUUAUAAUGAAUAAUUCAAUUUUAAAUUUAAUUUGAAGGUGGAUUUAAAUGUAAUUUUAAUUAAUUUAUUAAAAUGAUUAAAAAUUGAAAUAUGUACAUAUUGCCCGUCACUUUCAUUUGAAAAUUGAAAUAAGUCGUAACAAAGUAGAAGUACUGGAAAGUGUUUCUAGAAUGAA
rnacentral:ncRNA from 1 species